rnacentral:rRNA from 1 species
CGCGUGAGAAUCUAGCUUCAGGAUGGGGACAACAGUGGGAAACUGCUGCUAAUACCCGAUGUGCCGGAAGGUGAAAGAUUUAUUGCCUGAAGAUGAGCUCGCGUCCGAUUAGCUAGUUGGUAGGGUAAAAGCCUACCAAGGCGACGAUCGGUAGCUGGUCUGAGAGGAUGACCAGCCACACUGGGACUGAGACACGGCCCAGACUCCUACGGGAGGCAGCAGUGGGGAAUUUUCCGCAAUGGGCGAAAGCCUGACGGAGCAAGACCGCGUGAGGGAGGAAGGCUCUUGGGUUGUAAACCUCUUUUCUCUGGGAAGAAGCUCUGACGGUACCAGAGGAAUCAGCAUCGGCUAACUCCGUGCCAGCAGCCGCGGUAAUACGGAGGAUGCAAGCGUUAUCCGGAAUUAUUGGGCGUAAAGCGUCCGUAGGUGGCUGUUCAAGUCUGCCGUUAAAACCAGUGGCUUAACCACUGAAUAGCGGUGGAAACUGAAUAGCUAGAGUGUGGUAGGGGUAGAGGGAAUUCCCAGUGUAGCGGUGAAAUGCGUAGAGAUUGGGAAGAACACCGGUGGCGAAAGCGCUCUGCUGGACCACAACUGACACUCACAGGACGAAAGCUAGGGGAGCGAAAGGGAUUA